rnacentral:rRNA from 1 species
GCUAAACGCGAAGAACCUUACCAGGUCUUGACAUCCUCUUGAAUACAUUAGAGAUAGUGUAGGCUUUCGGGACAAGAGAGACAGGUGGUGCAUGGUUGUCGUCAGCUCGUGUCGUGAGAUGUUGGGUUAAGUCCCGCAACGAGCGCAACCCUUAAUUUUAGUUGCCAGCCGUAAGAGGGGCACUCUAGAAUGACUGCCGGUGACAAACCGGAGGAAGGUGGGGAUGACGUCAAAUCAUCAUGCCCCUUAUGACCUGGGCUACACACGUACUACAAUGGCCGGUACAACGGGCAGCGAAACCGCGAGGUGGAGCGAAUCCUAUAAAAGCCGGUCUCAGCUCGGAUUGCAGGCUGCAACUCGCCUGCAUGAAGUCGGAAUUGCUAGUAAUCGCGGAUCAGCAUGCCGCGGUGAAUACGUUCCCGGGUCUUGUACACACCG